rnacentral:rRNA from 1 species
GGAAUUUGGGACAAUGGGCAAACGCCUGAUCCAGCAAUCCCGCGUGCAGGAUGAAGGCCUUCGGGUUGUAAACUGCUUUAGUACGGAAAGAAAAGCUUAGAGUUAAUACCGUGGGGUCAUGACGGUACCGUAAGAAUAAGCACCGGCUAAUUACGUGCCAGCAGCCGCGGUAAUACGUAGGGUGCAAGCGUUAUUCGGAAUUAUUGGGCGUAAAGCGUGCGCGGGCGGUUUUGUAAGACAGAGGUGAAAUCCCCGGGCUCAACCUGGGAAUUGCCUUUGUGAUUGCAAGGCUGGAGUGCGGCAGAGGGGGAUGGAAUUCCGCGUGUAGCAGUGAAAUGCGUAGAUAUGCGGAGGAACACCGAUGGCGAAGGCAAUCCCUUGGGCCUGCACUGACGCUCAUGCACGAAAGCGUGGGGAGCAAACAGGAUUAGAUACCCUGGUAGUCCACGCCCUAAACGAUGUCAACUGGUUGUUGGGUCUUAACUGACUCAGUAACGAAGCUAACGCGUGAAGUUGACCG